rnacentral:rRNA from 1 species
CCCUUAGAUGUUCUGGGCCGCACGCGUGCUACACUGAACGGUUCAAUGGGUGAGGUAGUGCGAAAGCAUGACCCAAUCUCAAAAUCCGUUCGUGCUGGGGAUAGAAGCUUGCAAUUCUCCUUCUUGAACGAGGAAUACCUUGUAAGCGUGAGUCAUCAUCUCGCGCUGAAUACGUCCCUGCCCUUUGUACACACCGCCCGUCGCUCCUACCGAUUGAGUGGUCCGGUGAGGCUUCGGGAGAGCUAAAUGGAUUGUGUUUCACAAACUAUUUGGCUUGAACUUAGUCAAACCUUACUACUUAGAGGAAGGAGAAGUCGUAACA